rnacentral:rRNA from 1 species
UACGUAGGGUGCAAGCGUUGUCCGGAUUUAUUGGGCGUAAAGAGCGUGUAGGCGGUUCGGUAGGUCCGUUGUGAAAACUCGAGGCUCAACCUCGAGACGCCGAUGGAAACCCCCGAACUAGAGUCUGGAAGAGGAGAGUGGAAUUCCCGGUGUAGCGGUGAAAUGCGCAGAUAUCGGGAAGAACACCCGUGGCUAAGGCGGCUCUCUAGUACGGUACUGACGCUGAGACGCGAAAGCGUGGGGAGCGAACAGG